UCCCGUUUGGAUAAAUGAGAUUUGAUAGAUACGGGGUUCCCGAAUUGGUUGUGGUCCUGUAUAUGUUGCGGACACACCAUAACUCGAAAGAGCGUCCCGUUGUUAGCUCUCAUGAGCAUCCCGAUAUUUGGCCCUCUCGAGCUUCCCGUUAUAUGGUUCUUGCGAGCUUCCCGUUAAUAGCUCUUCGGAGCAUCCCGAUUGGUUGUGAUUCUGCAUGUGUUGUAGACAUACCACAGCUCUUAUGAGCGUCCCGAUAUAUGGUUCUUCGUGAGCUUCCUG
rnacentral:lncRNA from 1 species